GAAAGGUGUUGCACCUAAACAGGCUUGAAAGUUUCUGAGAGCUGAUAAUCAAGUCACCCUGACUUUGGUGAGUGCGGGAGCUCUAAGGAAUUAUUGUGUGUUUAUCAUACGUUAUUCCUUUUCAGGAUUCAGCACAAGGAAAAAAGUAUGUGUUGGAUGUUCCGCCAUUUAAGAUUCGUCAUUUUCGCAUCUGCCAUGGAGUUUGUCACAGCUAAUGAUCAAUGUAGGACGGAAGUAAAUAUACAAGGAAUGGCUCUCAAGCGUUCUGUUUUCAAAAGGUGGUCAGUGGCGGCUCCUCAUCUUUGUGAUGUUAAAUGUGGAAAAGAGAUUACAUGCCAAAGCUAUAACUACAAUAGAAAAUACCAAAUAUGUGAACUAAAUAACCGCACCAAAGAGGCGAGACCAGAGAAUUUCCUUUCAGCACCCGCGUGGUUUUACAUCCGGCGAUUAAACG